rnacentral:rRNA from 4 species
CCCUUUGGGGUGUGACUGCGUACCUUUUGUAUAAUGGGUCAGCGACUUAUAUUCUGUAGCAAGGUUAACCGAAUAGGGGAGCCGGAGGGAAACCGAGUCUUAAUUGGGCGUUAAGUUGCAGGGUAUAGACCCGAAACCCGGUGAUCUAGCCAUGGGCAGGUUGAAGGUUGGGUAACACUAACUGGAGGACCGAACCGACUAAUGUUGAAAAAUUAGCGGAUGACCUGUGGCUGGGGGUGAAAGGCCAAUCAAACCGGGAGAUAGCUGGUUCUCCCCGAAAGCUAUUUAGGUAGCGCCUCGUGAAUUCAUCUCCGGGGGUAGAGCACUGUUUCGGCUAGGGGGCCAUCCCGGCUUACCAACCCGAUGCAAACUGCGAAUACCGGAGAAUGUUAUCACGGGAGACACACGGCGGGUGCUAACGUCCGUCGUGAAGAGGGAAACAACCCAGACCGCCAGCUAAGGUCCCAAAGUCAUGGUUAAGUGGGAAACGAUGUGGGAAGGCCCAGACAGCCAGGAUGUUGGCUUAGAAGCAGCCAUCAUUUAAAGAAAGCGUAAUAGCUCACUGGUCGAGUCGGCCUGCGCGGAAGAUGUAACGGGGCUAAACCAUGCACCGAAGCUGCGGCAGCGACGCUGAUGCGUUGUUGGGUAGGGGAGCGUUCUGUAAGCCUGCGAAGGUGGCCUGUGAGGGUUGCUGGAGGUAUCAGAAGUGCGAAUGCUGACAUAAGUAACGAUAAAGCGGGUGAAAAGCCCGCUCGCCGGAAGACCAAGGGUUCCUGUCCAACGUUAAUCGGGGCAGGGUGAGUCGACCCCUAAGGCGAGGCCGAAAGGCGUAGUCGAUGGGAAACGGGUUAAUAUUCCCGUACUUGGUGUUACUGCGAAGGGGGGACGGAGAAGGCUAUGUUGGCCGGGCGACGGUUGUCCCGGUUUAAGCGUGUAGGUGUGUGUUCCAGGUAAAUCCGGUUCACUUUAACACUGAGGCGUGAUGACGAGGCACUACGGUGCUGAAGCAACAAAUGCCCUGCUUCCAGGAAAAGCCUCUAAGCAUCAGGUAACAUCAAAUCGUACCCCAAACCGACACAGGUGGUCAGGUAGAGAAUACCAAGGCGCUUGAGAGAACUCGGGUGAAGGAACUAGGCAAAAUGGUGCCGUAACUUCGGGAGAAGGCACGCUGACACGUAGGUGAAGUGAUUUACUCAUGGAGCUGAAGUCAGUCGAAGAUACCAGCUGGCUGCAACUGUUUAUUAAAAACACAGCACUGUGCAAACACGAAAGUGGACGUAUACGGUGUGACGCCUGCCCGGUGCCGGAAGGUUAAUUGAUGGGGUCAGCGCAAGCGAAGCUCCUGAUCGAAGCCCCGGUAAACGGCGGCCGUAACUAUAACGGUCCUAAGGUAGCGAAAUUCCUUGUCGGGUAAGUUCCGACCUGCACGAAUGGCGUAAUGAUGGCCAGGCUGUCUCCACCCGAGACUCAGUGAAAUUGAACUCGCUGUGAAGAUGCAGUGUACCCGCGGCAAGACGGAAAGACCCCGUGAACCUUUACUAUAGCUUGACACUGAACAUUGAGCCUUGAUGUGUAGGAUAGGUGGGAGGCUUUGAAGUGUGGACGCCAGUCUGCAUGGAGCCGGCCUUGAAAUACCACCCUUUAAUGUUUGAUGUUCUAACGUGGACCCGUGAUCCGGGUUGCGGACAGUGUCUGGUGGGUAGUUUGACUGGGGCGGUCUCCUCCUAAAGAGUAACGGAGGAGCACGAAGGUUGGCUAAUCCUGGUCGGACAUCAGGAGGUUAGUGCAAUGGCAUAAGCCAGCUUGACUGCGAGCGUGACGGCGCGAGCAGGUGCGAAAGCAGGUCAUAGUGAUCCGGUGGUUCUGAAUGGAAGGGCCAUCGCUCAACGGAUAAAAGGUACUCCGGGGAUAACAGGCUGAUACCGCCCAAGAGUUCAUAUCGACGGCGGUGUUUGGCACCUCGAUGUCGGCUCAUCACAUCCUGGGGCUGAAGUAGGUCCCAAGGGUAUGGCUGUUCGCCAUUUAAAGUGGUACGCGAGCUGGGUUUAGAACGUCGUGAGACAGUUCGGUCCCUAUCUGCCGUGGGCGCUGGAGAACUGAGGGGGGCUGCUCCUAGUACGAGAGGACCGGAGUGGACGCAUCACUGGUGUUCGGGUUGUCAUGCCAAUGGCACUGCCCGGUAGCUAAAUGCGGAAGAGAUAAGUGCUGAAAGCAUCUAAGCACGAAACUUGCCCCGAGAUGAGUUCUCCCUGAGACUUAGAGUCUCCUGAAGGAACGUUGAAGACGACGACGUUGAUAGGCCGGGUGUGUAAGCGCAGCGAUGCGUUGAGCUAACCGGUACUAAUGAACCGUGAGGCUUAACCUUACA